AAUAGUGGAUGACAUUUAAAAAAAUGAUAGGGGGACAAAAGAAUGUCCAAUAUAUGUAGCACUUAAGCCACUUGCAAUCUAUCCAAAAUCAAUGAAAAAUGCCUUAAUUUAUUUAAUUUAAUGUUUUUCUUUAUGCUUUCCUUUAUUUUUCCAACAUAGUAGUUGUAGCUCUCUAACACAAUCUGGUAUAAAAAUUGUUCAGAGAAUUUAUUUUCUAGCCCCUUACUUUGCCAUAAAUGCCUUCCUCGCUUGAUAAUUAGCGAGCGCUGAAAAAACACAUUUCACGAAAAGGAAUACCGCGACUAAGAACAUCAUGACAGGAACAAGAAUAUGAAAAAUUAUGAAAUGUGGUUGUGCUCCAUUUUUGUGUCUUUUUCCUGCAACACAGAUUAAUUAGUGUUAACCUCAAUUUACUUGAAAUAAAUAAAAUCACUAUCUUAUUAUAUAGUUAAAAAUGUUGAAAAUUCAAACCUAUAGGUUGUGCAAAAUAUGGAUAAGUAUCAUAUCUAACAAUGCAACUUGGAUAUAAAACACUUCCUCUAAUCUUUCCUCUAGCACAAGAAGUUUGAAGAUAAUC
rnacentral:lncRNA from 1 species